rnacentral:lncRNA from 10 species
GGUUCAUCAGCAUAACAAGACCAUCCUCACUAGCCAGGCUAGUGGUCUUAUGCUAGCCUUUUUCUCUUCUCUCCCUCUUGUAACCUGUCUUGCCAUGCUCCAAGUCCCUAUUUUUUCCGUAAUCUCAGGAUGUUAUAAAACUUCAAUCAUCAACCCCCCAUCUUUAAGCCUCAUAUUUUUGUAUGAUUCUCAUGCCCAUAUGCACGUCAAUAAAUGUGUAUGCCUUUUUUCUUUCAACUAUUAUCAAUUUGUUUUAUAGACUCAAAUUAUCGAAACUUCAGAGGAAAAAUUUAAACUUUCCUACACCAGAAUCAGCUUGAGAGAAGAACCUAGUUGCCACCCCAGCCAGACACUCCCUUGCACCAUAUUUGCUUGUCUAAUGAUGUACUUGCUUAGAAGUUCCAGGGGCUAAUCUUGAAAUAAACCAGGCAUAGAGAUCCAGUUGUGGAAGUCUCCCCCACCUAGAAAUUGCCUCAAGGUGGUUAAUCUUCAACCCAACCAUUGUCAAAAUGGCCCCAGUUCAUUCUACAGGUGGACAACAACUCAAGAUAGCCAUUGGAGCAAGAUAUGCCGACCUCCACCCUGCACCACUCCCACAUGCUUCCCAUACCAAGUUUCCCUUCCCAACCCCCUUCGCUUAGCCUGAAAAUUUGAGAUGGUUCUUUGAGACCUAAGUCCAGCCAUUCUUCUCAAUGGCUAGCCUUUGAAUAAAACUGCUUUCCUCCAUUCCAUCUUGCUUCUCUUGUUUUGGCUUCUGAGCGGCAAGCAGCCAGACCUCAGUUUGGUUAAACCUGGUCAUUGUGUGUCAAGCUAAACUCUUUAAUUUCUCUCAUAGAACUAUGGAUUUGUUUUGAAUAUCUAUUGUCUGUCUUCAAAAAAAUAAGCUAUAAAUCUCUACAAUCUCUAUUAAAGGGAGGUUGGUGGACCUCUCCAUGCCCAAAAGGGAAAGUGAGCAUUCCCGGUGGCUUCUUCCCUGGCUUGCUUCAUCAAUAACUCCAGACCAGAAUGCUCCCUCUGUAAAGAGAGUCUGAGACUUCUUUCUUGAACAGGGGAGUGAGCACUUUCUGCACUUCCUUCCCCAGCUUGCUCCAGUGGUGAAAAUCCCAGCCCUGCUAUCUCUCUGUAGAAAGAGGUUGGAAAACUAUGCUGGCAAGAAUGACAGCAUUUCCUGUGCCAUCUUCCCUGGCUUACUCUAAAGAUAAAGUCUUGGAAUCUGUCAUUGGGAGGAUGCUGGGGGAUCUCUCCAUUCCUGAAAGAGAAAGUGAGCACUCGCUGCACCUUUCUCUCUGGCUUGCUUCAGUGAUAACUCCAGACCAGAAAUCUCCCCUUGCUAGGAAGGUGUGAAACUUCUGCUUGCUCAAACAGGAGAGUGGGAACUCUCCACACCUUCUUCCCUGGCUUGCUCCAGAAAUAAAUUCAAAUCUGCAGACUCCCUGGAAGUAGUUUCUGCAUGCUCCAACUUUUACAGCUUUCACCUGAAGGACUAGCUCCUAAAUCACCUCACUAUGGGAGUUGACACACUCUGCACUCCUGAGUCUCCUAGACCACUGAGAACAAAAAGGUAACUUUUAAACUUGUAAAUUUUCAGCAGUCAUCUCAAAGUGAGUAGUCUGAUCAAGAGUACAAGCAUCUGCUCCAGACUCUUUCCUUGAUGUAGAGCAGAAUGAGUGCAGAUAAACUCUAGCUCUCAGUUUCCCUGCAAAUGAAGAAGGAACUAGAACAUACAUCUAACACCAUCUGCAUCCCAAAGUUCUGGCUUCUGUCCCACCUCUCCUAAGACAAUAGCACAACUUGACACUUU